rnacentral:rRNA from 1 species
CGGACGGGUGAGGAAUACAUCGGAAUCUACUCUGUCGUGGGGGAGUAACGUAGGGAAACUUACGCUAAUACCGCAUACGACCUACGGGUGAAAGCAGGGGAUCUUCGGACCUUGCGCGAUUGAAUGAGCCGAUGUCGGAUUAGCUAGUUGGCGGGGUAAAGGCCCACCAAGGCGACGAUCCGUAGCUGGUCUGAGAGGAUGAUCAGCCACACUGGAACUGAGACACGGUCCAGACUCCUACGGGAGCAGCAGCA